rnacentral:rRNA from 1 species
GUCCCUAGUUCGGAUUGUAGGCUGAAACUCGCCUACAUGAAGCUGGAAUUGCUAGUAAUCACAGGUCAGCAUACUGUGGUAAAUACGUUCCCGGGCCUUGUACACACCGCCCGUCACACCAUGAGAGUUGAGAAUACCCGAAGCCCAUGUCAAAGUGGUCGAAGGUAGGCUUGAUGAUUGGGGUGAAGUCGUAACAAGGUAUC